ACAGGUCCAUCAAUGGCUGUUAGCCAAGGUGGUCAGUGAUGCAGCCCCAUGCUCCGGGUGCCCCUAAAUCUCUAACUACCAGAAGUUGGAGUUGGACAACAGGGGAUGGAUCAGUAGAAAAUGCCCUGUUCUGUUCAUUUCCUCUGAAGCACCUGGCAUUGUCCACUGUCAGAAGACAGGACGCUGAGCUAGAUGGACCAUUGGUCUAACCCAGUGUGGCCAUUCUUACGAUGGGGGAAUUGAUGCACAAGGAAUAUUAAAUGACUGGCCUACAGUCACGCAAGAAGUCCACAGCUCAGGAUAUUUCUCCCAGGUUCACUGGCCAAGUCUUCAUUGAUCACGUUAUGGGGCAUGCAGUGCUAGGAGAGGUGGAUGAAAGCAAAGCUGGGAGAAUGGGUCUUUAACCACCAGGAGCCAACCAGCGGACCGAAUUCGGAGAUGAAUCCUGGUCAUGUGUCACCUGAGGCACGAUGCGCAUCCGCCAAGAAGACCACACAACCAUCCUUCAUGCAUAGCUAAACCCUGCAAGCUUUAAUGGAGAGAGAGAGGGAAAGACAUCACGUGGCCCUCUGUGGCUGGUGCACAAACAAAGGGGAGAUGGAUGGAAAUGCAUUUACCAGAACCACAUGGCUGCGAGAUAAUGCAUCUAACCAGGCUCUGAGAAGGACCCGCCACGUCUCUGAGGCUCCAACCUACAGCUCUUUUACGGGGUGGAAUGAGGAUCUUG